rnacentral:rRNA from 1 species
GGUGAAUAAUCCCCGAGCUUGAUGGUACCGAAAAAGGAAGUCACGGCUAACUCUGUGCCAGCAGCUGCGGUGAUACAGAGGUGGCAAGCGUUGUUCGGAUUUACUGGGCGUAAAGGGUGCGUAGGCGGUUCCGUGUGUCGAAUGUGAAAGCCCACUGCUCAACGGUGGAAGGGCGUUCGAAACUACGGGACUCGAGUACAGGAGAGGAGAGCGGAAUUCCUGGUGUAGCGGUGAAAUGCGUAGAGAUCAGGAAGAACACCGGUGGCGAAGGCGGCUCUCUAGACUGAUACUGACGCUGAGGCACGAAAGCUGGGGGAGCAAACAGGAUUAGAUACCCUGGUAGUCCCAGCCUUAAACGGUGUACACUUGGUGUGGGGGGAAUUGACCCCCUCCGUGCCGCAGCUAACGCGAUAAGUGUACCGCCUGGGGAGUACGGCCGCAAGGUUAAAACUCAAAGAAAUUGACGGGGGCCCGCACAAGCGGAGGAGCAUGUGGCUUAAUUCGAUGCAACGCGAAGAACCUUACCAGGGUUUGACAUGCAACUGCACGUCCCGUGAAAGCGGGAUUCCUUCGAGGGUGUUGCACAGGUGCUGCAUGGCUGUCGUCAGUUCGUGCCGUGAGGUGUUGGGUUAAGUCCCACAACGAACGCAACCCUUGUGUUUAGUUGCCACCACCGGUGAUGAACCGGUGAGCACUCUAGACAGACUGCCCGUGUUAAGCGGGAGGAAGGUGGGGAUGACGUCAAGUCAGUAUGGCCUUUAUAUCCUGGGCUGCACACGUGCUACAAUGGCCGGUCCAAAGGGAUGCAAUACCGCAAGGUGGAGCAAAUCCCCAAAAAGCGGCCUCAGUACGGAUUGGAGUCUGCAACUCGACUCCAUGAAGUUGGAUUCGCUAGUAACGACGCAUCAGCUACGGUGUCGUGAAUACGUUCCCGGGCCUUGUACACACCGCCCGUCACAUCAUGAAAGCCGUCUGCACCAGAAGUCGCUGAUCCAACCCGCAAGGGGGGAAGGCGCCUAAGGUGUGGGUGGUGAUUGGGAUGAAGUCGUAACAAGGUAGCCGUAGGGGAACCUGCGGCUG